rnacentral:rRNA from 1 species
AAGUCGUAACAAGGUUUCCGUAGGUGAACCUGCGGAAGGAUCAUUAUUAAUACAUGGUUAACACCAUCAUUUUAUGUGCAACACAACUGACGCUGCCAGUACUUGGGGCUUACCUUAGGGUGAGUCACAUACCUGGCUGCAGCCCUUACCUAUUACCCACGUACAAGGAUGAUUCCUGUCCUGGUCUAGUAGGUAAGAGCACCAGGCUUAUGAUUCCAUGGCUUCAUUUGGUGUCAUGGUCUAAGAUAAGCCUGUUAUUUACACUAUUAUAUAUCAGUCUUGAAAUCCGUCAUCUGUUGGUAGCCGCAAGGCACUAACUGCUCACACAUUAAAAGGGUAAAAAACUUUUAGCAACGGAUCUCUAGGCUCUCGCAACGAUGAAGAACGCAGCGAACCGCGAAAUGUAAUGUGAAUUGCAGAGUUCGUGAAUCAUCAAAUCUUUGAACGCACAUUGCACUGCUUGGAAUUCCAGGCAGUAUGUCUGUUUGAGUAUCUGUUAACCAUCAAGUAAGCCCUUGGCUAAGCGGGACCUCUCAAGGGUUUCUCUUGNACUCUGUAUUACUUGGACAUGGGCCUAAUCGUAGUAAUACGAAGGGCCUUAAAUAGAUCUGGCCUUAUCCCAGGAUAAGUCUGUUGGCUUCCCUUCAAGGGAGUUAACACCCGCAUCUGAUAUUGAAGAACUACUUCCUCGAUACCGUUAAGGAUGUGGGGCUAAACGAGUACGGAAGGCCUAAUAAGCCCCAAGUCUCAACUCAUGAUCUCAAAUCAGACAAGACUACCCGCUGAACUUAAGCAUAUUAAUAAGCGGAGGAAAAGAAACCAACAGGGAUUCCCUCAGUAAUGGCGAAUGAAGCGGGAAUAGCUCAAAUUUGAAAUCUCUAACGAGAAUUGUAGUUUGUAGAGGCGACCUCGAAUGGCAGCCUGGGCACAAGUCCUCUGGAAUGGGGCAUCAUGGAGGGUGAGAAUCCCGUGAAUGGCCCAGGUACUGUCACACUUGAGUCGUCUUCUAAGAGUCGGGUUGUUUGGGAAUGCAGCCCUAAGUCGGUGGUAUAUUCCAUCUAAAGCUAAAUAUUGGCGAGAGACCGAUAGCAAACAAGUACCGUGAGGGAAAGAUGAAAAGAACUUUGAAAAGAGAGUUAAAAGUACGUGAAAUUGCUAAAAGGGAAACGAUUGAAACCAGUGUUGUCCUUGGGAAAUCAACUAUCUGGGUAACCAGGUGGUGCACUUUCCUAAGGGCAAGUCAACAUCAGUUACUGGUGGGGUAAAAUGGGUUGGGAAUGUAGCUGCUUGCAGUAUUAUAGCCUUUCUCUAUGCCCCGCCGGCGACUGAGGACUGCAGCGCGUCUUGGGUUUACUCACCACAGCGCUAAGGAUGUUGACGAAAUGGUUUUAAACGAC